rnacentral:SRP_RNA from 1 species
GGGGGGGACCCGGGCAAUGGAGGCUUGCGAACCUGGUCAGGGCGGGAACGCAGCAGCCAUAAGCAUCGUCUUCAUGUGCCCGGGAGGGCCUCCCCGGC